rnacentral:rRNA from 1 species
GACGAACGCUGGCGGCGUGCUUAACACAUGCAAGUCGAACGCAGUGGCGAACGGGUGAGUAAUACGUGGGUAACCUGCCCUCCUUUUUGGGAUAAGCCUUGGAAACGGGGUCUAAUACCGCAUACAGGGGGAUGGGCUCGCGGCCUAUCAGCUUGUUGGUGGGGUGAUGGCCUACCAAGGCGGUGAUGGGUACCCGGCCUGAGAGGGUGACCGGCCACAUUGGGACGGAGAUACGGCACAGACUCCUACGGGAGGCAGCAGUGGGGGAUAUUGCAAAAUGGACGAAAGCCUGAUGCAGCCAUGCCGCGUGUGUGAAGAAGGCCUUCGGGUUGUAAAGCACUUUCAGCGGGGAGGAGUUACCCGCAGAAGAAGAACCGGCUAACUCCGUGCCAGCAGCCGCGGUAAUAC